CUGGCUACAGGCUCGGUUUGAUAAAGGACUUGGGAGCUGAAAAAAUUCAUCUCGCCUAAAAUGAGGAUGCCCAUUACUGCUGCGGCAAACACAGGGAUUUCUACAGCGCUCAGAAACAUCCUGAUCAAAGAAUUUACCUUAUUCAUUUUCUUAAUGGUGGCGCCAUUUGUGCCUUCAAUUGGCUCGUCAACUUUUUCCUCCUGUUUUCCAAUACCAAAACGGUUCAUCCGGUUGAUUUCGAGGAUCUUGUUCCACAUAGAUAUUAACGAAAGAAUGGCCGGUACGCAGCACGCAGCGGCCAUGAGCGUUGCGGUGCCAAAUGUGAUCUUAUCUGGGGCGGGGAUGACGUAGAUGUUGCUGGCUGCACCGUUUCGCAUAGGGGAGAACGGGCCUUUGUCUUCAGAGCAAGUCAUGCCGCAGCUUGUGUUGUACUUGAAUUUGCGAGCAUCAGACGAGAUAGGGUUGCCGGCGUCGUCGAACGGGCAAGGCGUUGGUUGGAUUCGGAAAAACUCGACAGUCAAGCUCAACAGCCCUUUUGGGGUAAAAGGUUAGGCAAGAGUGAUAAGCUGGGUAAUCCGAAGACAAGGGGUGUAUAUACAUAUACACACAUAUAUAUAUAACCAAAGAUCAUCAACUUACCGGCAAGAAUGAGGGUGGUCCAUAAGAAAAUGAUAUUCCGGCCGGGGUCAUAGAAGUAUGUUCUGGAUACCCGAACCGCUACGGGCCCGGUCAAAAUGCCAAUUGAACAUAGCUGGAAGGCACCAUAGAUAUCCAUAUCAACAGCACCUUUGACAGUUGAACAAUUAGCUUUGGAAACCACACAAAGCUGCCGCAAUCUCAAGAACCAACCAUGCAGAUUGAGUGCCGCAAGAACGACGCCGUGCAAAGCAGCAACGGCCGGAAAAAGUAGCACUGCCGCCAGGCAGGCAUUUCUGAGCCACUCAGUCUUUCGCGCAAAGACACAAGCGGCUAUUAGAACAUAGUAUCUGUAUGGUUUCAACAAGGCGAAUUGGCGGUCAGCCGUUAUUCAACGGGCUCACGGCACGCGUUUGCUCUGGCUUCGCCGUAUGGGAAACAUUUCGAACUCACAGAACCCUUGUGCCGGGCCCAUACUGGCCAGAAACCGGCCAUGCGCAUAUCACCUGUAAAGCGUUUUUCGUCGUCCCGUUUACAGUUGCAUUGUGGACUGCGGCUUCAGCGUGGAGGGCAUUUGGCAGCAAGGCAGACCCGAGCGCAGGCAUGGCUCACGGAUUGUAGGGAGAGGGCACAACCAUGUAUCGCGUGAGGAAGAUUAUUAUUUCAUGUUAAUGGGGAGGCAAGGAGGAUAACAACCUGUUCACAUCCUCUAUCAUCAUAUAUCUAUUCCGAAGAAAAGAACACGAUAGAUUUUAGCUUGGAAAAGAGAACGUCCCUCGAGCAAAACACAGGGAUCGCUGUUGUUUUAAAACCGAACAGGUUGCAGCUGAGGCGAGAUGUGAUGUGAUGCUUGCUUCGCAAACCGCCAGAGUUGAGCCGCCUACAGCCUGAAGUUUUUCCGCAUAUUUAAUUACAGCAAGAGUCUCCACCACUGAUCAUCUGCUCUGGCGCCAUCCUGGGCCCAGCUCCAAGCAGGGCUUGCC
rnacentral:sRNA from 1 species